rnacentral:rRNA from 1 species
GAUGAACGCUGGCGGCGUGCUUAACACAUGCAAGUCGAACGCACCUUCGGGUGAGUGGCGGACGGGUGAGUAACGCGUGAGAAUCUGGCCUCAGGAGGGGGAUAACGGCUGGAAACAGCCGCUAAUACCCCAUAUGCCGAGAGGUGAAACGAGUUUUCGCCUGAGGAUGAGCUCGCGUCUGAUUAGCUAGUUGGUGGGGUAAGAGCCUACCAAGGCAUCGAUCAGUAGCUGGUCUGAGAGGAUGAUCAGCCACACUGGGACUGAGAC